rnacentral:rRNA from 1 species
UACGUAGGGUCCGAGCGUUGUCCGGAAUUACUGGGCGUAAAGAGCUCGUAGGUGGUUUGUCACGUUGUUCGUGAAAACCCACAGCUCAACUGUGGGCGUGCGAGCGAUACGGGCAGACUAGAGUACUGCAGGGGAGACUGGAAUUCCUGGUGUAGCGGUGGAAUGCGCAGAUAUCGGGAAGAACACCCGUGGCUAAGGCGGCUCUCUAGUACGGUACUGACGCUGAGACGCGAAAGCGUGGGGAGCGAACAGG